UACAGAGGGUGCGAGCGUUAAUCGGAAUUACUGGGCGUAAAGCGCGCGUAGGCGGCUUUGCAAGUCGGGUGUGAAAUCCCCAGGCCUAACCUGGGAACUGCAUUCGAGACUGCAUGGCUAGAGUAUCGGAGAGGGAAGUGGAAUUUCAGGUGUAGCGGUGAAAUGCGUAGAUAUCUGAAGGAACAUCAGUGGCGAAAGCGGCUUCCUGGUCCAGCACCGACGUUCAGGCACGAAAGCGUGGGGAGCGAACAGG
rnacentral:rRNA from 1 species